rnacentral:rRNA from 1 species
GGAUGGGACUGCGGCCUAUCAGCUUGUUGGUGAGGUAAUGGCCCACCAAGGCUAUUACAGGUACGGGCUCUGAGAGGAGAAGCCCGGAGAUGGGUACUGAGACACGGACCCAGGUCCUAUGGGGCGCAGCAGGCGAGAAAACUUUGCAAUGUGCGCAAGCACGACAAGGUUAAUCCGAGUGAUUCCUGCUAAAGGAAUCUUUUGUUAGUUGUAAAACCACUGAUGAAUAAGGGGUGGGCAAGUCUGGUGUCAGCCGCCGCGGUAAUACCAGCACCCCGAGUGGUCGGGACGAUUAUUGGGCCUAAAGCAUCCGUAGCCGGUUCUGCAAGUCCUCCGUUAAAUCCAGCCGCUCAACGGAUGGGCCGCGGAGGAUACUAUAGGACUAGGAGGCGGGAGAGGCAAGCGGUACUCAGUGGGUAGGGGUAAAAUCCUUUGAUCCAUUGAAGACCACCAGUGGCGAAGGCGGCUUGCCAGAACGCGCUCGACGGUGAGGGAUGAAAGCUGGGGGAGCAAACCGGAUUAGAUACCCGGGUAGUCCCAGCUGUAAACGAUGCAGACUCGGUGAUGGGCUAGCCUUGUGCCAGCCCAGUGCCGCAGGGAAGCCGUUAAGUCUGCCGCCUGGGGAGUACGGUCGCAAGACUGAAACUUAAAGGAACUGGC